GAUAAGGUUAAGUGAAUAAGGGCGCACGGUGGAUGCCUUGGCACUAGGAGCCGAUGAAGGACGGGACUAACACCGAUAUGCUUUGGGGAGCUGUAAGUAAGCUAUGAUCCAGAGAUUUCCGAAUGGGGGAACCCAAUAUCUUUUAUAGGAUAUUACUUUUCAGUGAAUACAUAGCUGAUUAGAGGUAGACGCAGAGAACUGAAACAUCUUAGUACCUGCAGGAAGAGAAAGAAAAUUCGAUUCCCUGAGUAGCGGCGAGCGAAACGGGAAGAGCCCAAACCAACAAGCUUGCUUGUUGGGGUUGUAGGACUCCAAUAUGGUAGUCUGUUAGUGUAGUUGAAGGAUUUGGAAAAUUCCGCUAAAGAGGGUGAAAGCCCCGUAGACGAAAUGCUGACAACACCUAGGAGGAUCCUGAGUACGGCGGAACACGAGAAAUUCCGUCGGAAUCCGCGGGGACCAUCCCGCAAGGCUAAAUACUCCCUAGUGACCGAUAGUGAACCAGUACCGUGAGGGAAAGGUG
rnacentral:rRNA from 1 species